rnacentral:lncRNA from 11 species
GGAUUUUAUAAGGCUGUGUGGAAGGGGCCAGGGAUGCAGUUUUAAACCAUUGCUUUCCAUGGGAUCCAAUUGUUCUGCAUCUAAACCCAUUGGACCCAUGGAGCCCCGGUGGUGCAGUGGGUUAAACCCUUGUGCUGUCAGGACUGAUGACUCAAAGGUUGGGUUGCUGACCUGAAGGUUGCUGGUUCGAAUCCAACCCGGGGAGAGUGCAGAUGAGCUUCCUCUAUCAGCUCCAGCUCCAUGCAGUGACAUGAGAGAAGCCUCCCACAAGGAUGCAUCUGUGGAUUUCCCAUCUGGUUGCCAGCCCCCCCUCCGAGGUGACUGUCUCUUUGUUCUGAGGUGGAAAUGUACCUGGUUCCUGUACCAUUGUGAUUGCUCACCCAUUCAGCCCUCUGUCUUCAUCCAAUGCCAACUAGUUUCUUUAAGAAAAUUUAUUAUUAACAUUGCCUAGCAACAGCAAAUAGUUUGCACAACACUUCUGUAUAUUUAUAGAUUCAUCAUGAUGACUCUCAUAAGAACUGCAUCAGGUACUGUGCUAGAUAAAUAAUUUCAUUUUGCCUUGUUUCAGUCUUAUGGGGCUACUUAAAUUUAGGAUUACAACAGCAUGAUAGUCAUUGAGAAUGCGAGGCCCUCAAAAUGUUCAAUUGCAGCUCCCAUUAUUCCUAUCCAGUUUAGUGACUGGUGAGAAAUACUGGGAAACUGAAGUCCAGUAAGAUAUACAGCACCAUAUGUCCAAUCCUCCUGUAAGAUAUCCAGUUAUCAUCAACAAAUCAUUGAUAGUAUUGAUUUAAAACACAGAUAAUGCUGAUUGUAGUGGAUCAAGGUAUCUUGCAGGAAUCCGAUCGGUUACAACUAGCGUUAAAAUCCGCAAGACCUUAAUAGCAACUAAGCUAAUUGUUUGAGCUUAUGAUAAUGCCUGCCAACAUAAAACUGUAGUAAUUGCAUAAGUACAGAACAAUAAAGAAUGUAGCAAUCCAGUAUCUAUUUUAAUUUCACUUUUGCUUACUGAU